rnacentral:rRNA from 1 species
GAGGAAUAUUGGACAAUGGGUGAGAGCCUGAUCCAGCCAUCCCGCGUGAAGGACGACGGCCCUAUGGGUUGUAAACUUCUUUUGUACAGGGAUAAACCUUUCCACGUGUGGAAAGCUGAAGGUACUGUACGAAUAAGCACCGGCUAACUCCGUGCCAGCAGCCGCGGUAAUACGGAGGGUGCAAGCGUUAUCCGGAUUUAUUGGGUUUAAAGGGUCCGUAGGCGGAUCUGUAAGUCAGUGGUGAAAUCUCAUAGCUUAACUAUGAAACUGCCAUUGAUACUGCAGGUCUUGAGUAAGGUAGAAGUAGCUGGAAUAAGUAGUGUAGCGGUGAAAUGCAUAGAUAUUACUUAGAACACCAAUUGCGAAGGCAGGUUACUAUGUCUUAACUGACGCUGAUGGACGAAAGCGUGGGGAGCGAACA